UUGUAAAACAUAUAUACUCAAAGUGGUGUGUUUUUUUUAAAAAAAACAAAGUACGACUAUUUGGUAAUCAAGCUCGGCAGGUUGUCAACCAGUUGCAGGACUUACCAAAUCAACAAAAGAAAAUAUGUUCAGAACUUCUGAACCUCACGUUAGCAUUUUAUGAAGAUACAAGUACAUGCAAAAUCAGAAAUUUCUAUCAGUGAAAUAAAGUUGAGAGAGAGAGGGAGAGAAGAUACACAGUUUCACAUUUAACCGUGGAUAACUGACCCAUUGGUCCCCUGCCAACUGGUUCCACGGCCAAUAUGAGAGAAGAUGUCAGUUAAUUGAAGAGGAACACUCAAGAGACCAGAUAUUGGAAGUUUGAACAAUGAACGUGAUCAGAAUCUAGAGUAGUGCACAUUCGGGCGAGCAAAACUAGCAACACUAGGGGUACUAGAAACGGUGCAUACCAGAUAGAUGGUCGUACAACUCCACAAUGUUUAGGCGAUUACCCACACACCAUCCAGUUCAUCUGGCAUAAUUGAGAUACUUGUAGUCCUGAUAAGAUGACAGAUGACAAAGUUGAAGGGCAAAACAUAGCUGAAAACUGUAGAAAUCCAAAUGCUCAGUUUUGGAAUCAGAUAUCAAUACAAUCAUACAAGUACAAAUUAACAUAUAUGGAAAAGAAUGAUGAUUGUAAUAAUUAGUCACUUUUAGCACAUCCAGUAACGAGCUGAAUUGAUGAAUAUGACUGCAACCUUUAUGUGGCGAUUU